UGUGAACCUGCAUAAUCCCAUACAUGAUCAACAACAUACAUAAAAAUUAAAACUUUUCUUUCCAUGAACAUCAACCAAACUCAACCUGUGCAUAACAUUAAUAUAAACAUAACUAUGAUCCCUCUGUGGGAUCUCAUCUGUGCCCUCAAAGGGUAACAUAACCUGUGUUGAGCUGGUUUACAUAAACAUCAUAACAUAAGAUCAUGUACAUACAAAAGGGAUUAACAAUAUACUAUGGUCAAGCACAACUCUAUCCUCAAUAACCCCAUUACAUAACAUACUGAAUAUUUUUACAUUUCAUCAUAAUACAAUUGUCAUGUCCACAAUCUAACUAUUACAUACAUAUGACCUUCUUUUUCUCUUCUUGCCUUCUCUAUCUAUCCCGUACCUGCAAACCUGGGGGUUAGGGGAGAGGGGUGAGCUAGAUGCCCAGUGAGUAGAACUAUAAAAAGAAUAUUUAAAACAUGCCAUCAUGAAAUGCGUCACUGCGCAAACAAAUCACACCACG
rnacentral:lncRNA from 1 species